CCCUUGUACACACCGCCCGUCACACCAAGGGAGUGGGUUUCACCAGAAGCCGGUUGCCUAACCCGCAAGGGGGGGCGCUGACCACGGUGAGAUUCAUGACUGGGGUG
rnacentral:rRNA from 1 species